rnacentral:rRNA from 1 species
GACGUAGGGCGCGAGCGUUGUCCGGAUUUAUUGGGCGUAAAGAGCUCGUAGGCGGCUUGUCGCGUCGAAUGUGAAAACUCGGGGCUCAACUCCGGGCCUGCAGCCGAUACGGGCAGACUAGAGUUCGGCAGGGGGGACUGGAAUUCCUGGUGUAGCGGUGAAAUGCGCAGAUAUCAGGAGGAACACCGGUGGCGAAGGCGGGUCUCUGGGCCGAUGACUGACGCUGAGGAGCGAAAGCGUGGGGAGCGAACAGG